AUACAAAGAAAAAGAAAGAAACAAAACAAAAAAGGUGAAAUAGAGUAGGGGGGGCAUCACAACAGCACUACUGCGUUUCGUCUAUCCCUUUUUUCCGUAUCUUUCCUC
rnacentral:ribozyme from 1 species